rnacentral:rRNA from 1 species
CACGUAGGGACCGAGCGUUGUCCGGAUUUAUUGGGCGUAAAGAGCUCGUAGGCUGUUCAGUAAGUCAGGUGUGAAAACUCUGGGCUUAACCCAGAGCCUGCAUUUGAUACUGCUGUGACUUGAGUUCGGUAGGGGAGCGGGGAAUUCCUAGUGUAGCGGUGAAAUGCGCAGAUAUUAGGAGGAACACCGGUGGCGAAGGCGCCGCUCUGGGCCGAAACUGACGCUGAGGAGCGAAAGCGUGGGUAGCAAACAGG